UACAGAGGUCCCAAGCGUUGUUCGGAUUCACUGGGCGUAAAGGGUGCGUAGGUGGUGAGGUAAGUCGGAUGUGAAAUCUCCGGGCUCAACCCGGAAAUGGCAUUGGAAACUACCUUGCUAGAGGAUUUGAGGGGGGAUUGGAAUACUUGGUGUAGCAGUGAAAUGCGUAGAUAUCAAGCGGAACACCGGUGGCGAAGGCGGCCUUCUGGACAGUGACUGACGCUGAGAUGCGAAAGCGUGGGGAGCAAACAGG
rnacentral:rRNA from 1 species